rnacentral:rRNA from 1 species
UAGGGAAUCUUCGGCAAUGGACGAAAGUCUGACCGAGCAACGCCGCGUGAGUGAAGAAGGUUUUCGGAUCGUAAAACUCUGUUGUUAGAGAAGAACAAGGACGUUAGUAACUGAACGUCCCCUGACGGUAUCUAACCAGAAAGCCACGGCUAACUACGUGCCAGCAGCCGCGGUAAUACGUAGGUGGCAAGCGUUGUCCGGAUUUAUUGGGCGUAAAGCGAGCGCAGGCGGUUUCUUAAGUCUGAUGUGAAAGCCCCCGGCUCAACCGGGGAGGGUCAUUGGAAACUGGGAGACUUGAGUGCAGAAGAGGAGAGUGGAAUUCCAUGUGUAGCGGUGAAAUGCGUAGAUAUAUGGAGGAACACCAGUGGCGAAGGCGGCUCUAUGGUCUGAAACUGACGCUGAGGCUCGAAAGCGUGGGGAGCAAACAGG